rnacentral:rRNA from 1 species
AUACGUAGGGUGCGAGCGUUGUCCGGAAUUACUGGGCGUAAAGAGCUCGUAGGUGGUUUGUCGCGUCGUCUGUGAAAUUCCGGGGCUUAACUCCGGGCGUGCAGGCGAUACGGGCAUAACUUGAGUACUGUAGGGGAGACUGGAAUUCCUGGUGUAGCGGUGAAAUGCGCAGAUAUCAGGAGGAACACCGGUGGCGAAGGCGGGUCUCUGGGCAGUAACUGACGCUGAGGAGCGAAAGCAUGGGUAGCGAACAGGAUUAGAUACCCUGGUAGUCCACGCCGUAAACGAUGGGCACUAGGUGCCUGGGGGAGCGACCCCCCGGGUGCCGGCGCUAACGCAUUAAGUGCCCCGCCUGGGGAGUACGGCCGCAAGGCUGAAACUCAAAUGAAUUGACGGGG